rnacentral:rRNA from 1 species
UACAGAGGGUGCGAACGUUGUUCGGAAUUACUGGGCGUAAAGCGCGUGUAGGCGGCAAUGCAAGUCGGGCGUGAAACCCCACGGCUCAACCGUGGAAGUGCACUCGAAACUGCAUAGCUAGAGUCCUGGAGAGGAAGGUGGAAUGCUUGGUGUAGAGGUGAAAUUCGUAGAUAUCAAGCGGAACACCGGUGGCGAAGGCGGCCUUCUGGACAGUGACUGACGCUGAGACGCGAAAGCGUGGGGAGCAAACAGG